AGCAGCCGCGGUAAUUCCAGCUCCAAUAGCGUAUAUUAAAGUUGUUGCAGUUAAAAAGCUCGUAGUUGAAUUUCGGGAUCAAUAUGUCGGUCGUGCCUCGGUACGUACUGGCGUAAUUGGUUUCUCCCUUCUGAAGAACCUCGAUGUCAUUAAUUUGGUGUCGUGGGGAAUCAGGACUGUUACUUUGAAAAAAUUAGAGUGUUUAAAGCAGGCUCACGCUUGAAUACAUUAGCAUGGAAUAAUGAAAUAGGACGUUUGAUUCUAUUUUGUUGGUUUCUAGGAUCGACGUAAUGAUUAAUAGGGAUAGUUGGGGGCAUUAGUAUUCAAUUGUCAGAGGUGAAAUUCUUGGAUUUAUUGAAGACUAACUACUGCGAAAGCAUUUGCCAAGGAUGUUUUCAUUAAUCAAGAACGAAAGUUAGGGGAUCGAAGACGAUCAGAUACCGUCGUAGUCUUAACCAUAAACUAUGCCGACUAGGGAUCGGAUGAUGUUAAUUUUUAAUGACUCAUUCGGCGCCUUAAC
rnacentral:rRNA from 1 species